rnacentral:tRNA from 1 species
UCUCCAGUGGUCUAGUGAUUAAGGAUUCAGCAUUGCCACUGCUGCAGCUCAGGUUCAAACCCUGGCCUGGGAA